UACGUAGGGUGCGAGCGUUAUUCGGAAUUACUGGGCGUAAAGCGCGCGCAGGCGGCGGCGUUGGCCCGGCGUGAAAGCCCCCGGCUCAACCGGGGAGAGUCGUCGGGGACCGCACCGCUUGAGGGCGGUAGGGGCUGGUGGAAUGCCUGGUGUAGUGGUGAAAUGCGUAGAGAUCAGGCAGAACACCUGGGGCGAAGGCGGCCAGCUGGGCCGUCCCUGACGCUGAGGCGCGAAGGCGUGGGGAGCGAACGGG
rnacentral:rRNA from 1 species